UACGUAGGGUGCGAGCGUUAAUCGGAAUUACUGGGCGUAAAGAGUGCGUAGGCGGUUCGUUAUGUCUGUGGUGAAAGCCCUGGGCUCAACCUAGGAAUGGCCAUGGAAACUGGCGGGCUGGAGUAUGGCAGAGGGGGUGGAAUUCCGCGUGUAGCAGUGAAAUGCGUAGAGAUGCGGAGGAACACCGAUGGCGAAGGCAGCCCCCUGGGCUAAUACUGACGCUGAGGCACGAAAGCGUGGGGAGCAAACAGG
rnacentral:rRNA from 1 species